rnacentral:rRNA from 1 species
UACGUAGGGGGCAAGCGUUGUCCGGAUUUAUUGGGCGUAAAGAGCGUGUAGGCGGCCAGAUAGGUCAGCUGUGAAAACUCGAGGCUCAGCCUCGAGACGCCGGUUGAAACCAUCUGGCUAGAGUCCGGAAGAGGAGAGUGGAAUUCCUGGUGUAGCGGUGAAAUGCGCAGAUAUCAGGAAGAACACCCGUGGCUAAGGCGGCUCUCUAGUACGGUACUGACGCUGAGACGCGAAAGCGUGGGGAGCGAACAGG